UGAUAUAGCUAUCGUCCUAAUAAUAGUAUAUCAUUUGAUCAUGAACUUUAGGUUUAAGGACUAAACGAUAUAUCUUCCUAUAUCGAAUCAAAUAAUCCUAAAGACUUCAUCACAUAAUAGGAGUUCAAAAUAACAUGUACACAGUGAUGAAAAAACUAAAUAAUAUUUAUUAAUUUAUUAAUUCAUAUAUAAUUAUAAUAAUAAGCUUAACCAUCAACAGGCUGACGAUUGACUUUGGGACACAAUUUCCAAUAGACGUAACCAGAUUUGUGAAGUGAUAUUGGGUCUGCUAAGUAUCGAAGGGGAUGGCAACAAAUGCUAGAUUAUAUACUCCUUUACCUAUUCCAAAUCAUUCAUGGGA
rnacentral:lncRNA from 1 species